GAUUUUAUUUCUAGGACAUCUUUGUCGGAUACGUGCCUGCAGGUAUGUAUGUGUGUGAAAUAUGCACUUGCCCAAGGAUUCCAGGAGGGUGCAUCGAUUAGAUUACCCCUGGCAAUGGAGUUAGUGAGCUGCCUGGCAUGGGUUUUGGAACAAAGCUCUGGUCCUCUGCAAGAGCAGGAAGCUACCACGCUAGUCCACAAUCUUACGGAAUUUAUUGGUAUCCUGCAAGCAAAACAAAGACUAAAGCUAGGCAAAAAGCCACAAACUGUGAACCCUGCAGAGGUGAGUGUCUCCUACAGAGAGGCGUGCCAAUAUGCUUGUAUCUAAAAGACUGUGAAGCGGGGAGGUCGGGCUGUGGUUCUCUCAGGGUGGUGAAUGGUUUGG
rnacentral:lncRNA from 1 species